rnacentral:ncRNA from 13 species
GGUAUAUAGCUCAAAUGGAAGAGUGUCCGCUUAGCAUGCGGGAGGUUUUGGGUUCGAUCCCCAAUAUAUC